ACCUUGGUCACUCUGCUGGAAUCCCAAAGUCAUUUUUUGUUGUAAAUACGUACAUGUGAUGUAAAGUACUAAGAUGUAUGCCUUAGACCUUAUAUAUAUAUUUUGAUUGGUAAUGCCACGAUGAGUUGGCAAUCGUUAUCAAUAUUUCGAAUUGAAAUUAUGAAAUGUGACUUUAGCAACAUUGAUGGAAUGAUAAACAGGUCAUCUAGAUAGGCUUGCUUGGGCUUAGUGGGCUACGUCCAUUGGGCCCAUGCAUCGGUCAUGGCUCGAAAAUUGGGUCAUGACACUCA
rnacentral:lncRNA from 1 species